UUUUAUGUGCAUCUAUGACGUGUGUCUCAUUUAUAAAUACAGCAAUUAUUUUCUAUAUCAAUCCAUAGGCUGGACCAAAUCCUUCGCAUUUCGUUUGAUUUUAAAAUCUUUCAACGAAUAUAAAAAACCUGCUGAGAACAUAUCAAGAGCCAUGGAGCAUGAGGUUUUAACCGUGACUGGAAAAUUCCGAGUUGAAUAUCCUGGUGUUCAAAGUCAACUGCGGCGCAAUAUCUCCCAAGUUUUGAACAAAUUCCAGGCAUUGCUCAACAUGAAUUUGCUUGAUGAAAGUUCAAGUACUGGUAAUGGAACAGAGGAUAGAACAGCAGAAACAAACUUUUGAGUGAAAAUCGAAAAAGAGCCUCCAAGAAUCGUCUUUGAUGAUAUUUUAUGCUAUAAAACGAUAUUUUCUGCAUAUAUAAUACAAAA